rnacentral:rRNA from 1 species
UACGUAGGGUGCAAGCGUUGUCCGGAAUUAUUGGGCGUAAAGAGCUCGUAGGCGGUUUGUCGCGUCUGCUGUGAAAACGCGGGGCUCAACUCCGCGCCUGCAGUGGGUACGGGCAGACUAGAGUGCAGUAGGGGAGACUGGAAUUCCUGGUGUAGCGGUGGAAUGCGCAGAUAUCAGGAGGAACACCGGUGGCGAAGGCGCACACCUGGCCCGAUACUGACGCUGGAGGCGCGAAAGCUAGGGGAGCAAACGGG